CUUAAAUUGAAGAGUUUGAUCAUGGCUCAGAUUGAACGCUGGCGGCAGGCCUAACACAUGCAAGUCGAGCGGAAACGACACUAACAAUCCUUCGGGUGCGUUAAUGGGCGUCGAGCGGCGGACGGGUGAGUAAUGCCUAGGAAAUUGCCUUGAUGUGGGGGAUAACCAUUGGAAACGAUGGCUAAUAC
rnacentral:rRNA from 2 species